rnacentral:rRNA from 1 species
CAUGCAAGUCGACUGGAAUUCUUCUUCGGAAGAUAGUACGGUGGCGGACGGGUGAGUAACGCGUAAAGAAUUUGCCCUUCAGACUGGGACAACUAAUCGAAAGGUUAGCUAAUACCGGAUAUUAUGAGACCUUGGCAUCAAGGACUUAUGAAAGCUAUAUGCGCUGGAGGAGAACUUUGCGUUCCAUUAGGUAGUUGGUAGGGUAAUGGCCUACCAAGCCGACGAUGGAUAGCCGGCCUGAGAGGGUGAACGGCCACAAGGGGACUGAGACACGGCCCUUACUCCUACGGGAGGCAGCAGUGGGGAAUAUUGGACAAUGGACCAAAAGUCUGAUCCAGCAAUUCUGUGUGCACGAUGAAGGUCUUCGGAUUGUAAAGUGCUUUCAGGUGGGAAGAAGAAAGUGACGGUACCACCAGAAGAAGCGACGGCUAAAUACGUGCCAGCAGCCGCGGUAAUACGUAUGUCGCAAGCGUUAUCCGGAAUUAUUGGGCGUAAAGCGAGUCUAGGCGGCUUGUUAAGUCAGAUGUGAAAAUGCGGGGCU